rnacentral:sRNA from 1 species
CUUUUCCCAGAUUUAAUCCCGUCUCUGUCACGAAAGUGAGGUAGGACAAAAUACAUUCUCGUUGGUUGAGGAUGACCGGUAAAGCAGAACCUGGGCGGUUUGAAGGGAGAAGCUCUCUC